GUGGAAACAAUUUGACUGCCCUCUUAGCCCCUUGCAAAAGUCUCAGGCAAUAAUACAAUCAGACAAAUGUACUGAUGUAGGCAAUGUAUGCAAGUGUUAAAGAAAGUGUGCAAGCAUUGUUUACUAUAGUGGCAUAAGGCAUGUUUUCAUACUCAUCUUGGUAAUUGACAUGGAAUUUACUGAGCAGUCAGAUUACACUGACUGUCACUGUAUAUACCAUUCAUGGCAUGCUGUGUUCCUUCUGUCACACGUUUAACUGUCUUCGACCUCGGUGGACGACAAUAACCUCUCAAUUAUUAAAAACUGCUUGCAAUAUAUGCCGAAUUAAUGAGAGGAUGCAUUUAACUCAAAAGCCAAUGCUAGUUCAGUAUUACACAGAUUUCCGUCUUGUGCUCAAGUUGAAUCAGAGUGUUUGACACCAUGGCUUUUGCCACCGCUUCGAUUGGAAUCGCCAUGGACGUGGAACAGACAGAAGAAAAGGCACCGAAGAAUUUCCUAGUCAGCCACUCGCCAGGUCGACUCUCCUGCCUAUCUACCAGCAAAACCCUGUUGGAGGAAAAUGUGAAGGCAGCAGUAGCCAACAUCAUGACCUUGGAAAGCAGCGGCAUGCUCAUCAAGCUUCUCAAAGUCCACCACCUCUUGUGCCUGGAGGAAUAAAAUACAGAC